AACUUUUUGAAUCCGUGCUGAGAGUUCGUCAGACACCAACUCAUUAGGGCUGAUCAGACUUCCUAAAUAAGUGAAGUU
rnacentral:pre_miRNA from 1 species